GAUGAAGAACGUAGCGAAAUGCGAUACGUAAUGUGAAUUGCAAAUUCAGUGAAUCAUCGAGUCUUUGAACGCACAUUGCGCCCCCUGGUAUUCCGGGGGGCAUGCCUGUCCGAGCGUCAUUGCUGCCCUCAAGCACGGCUUGUGUGUUGGGCCCCGUCCUCCGAUCCCGGGGGACGGGCCCGAAAGGCAGCGGCGGCACCGCGUCCGGUCCUCGAGCGUAUGGGGCUUUGUCACCCGCUCUGUAGGCCCGGCCGGCGCUUGCCGAUCAACCCAAAUUUUUACCCAGGUUGACCUCGGAUCAGGUAGGGAUACCCGCUGAACUUAAGCAUAUCAAUAAGCGGAGGA
rnacentral:misc_RNA from 1 species